rnacentral:tRNA from 1 species
GCGGGGAUAGCUCAGUUGGGAGAGCGUCAGACUGAAGCCACAACUUCGGUUCUACAAAAUCAUCUGAAGGUCGUGCGUUCGAUCCGCACUCACCGCA